rnacentral:misc_RNA from 1 species
UUAUGGUCCUUNCCGAAGUCAUUACUCCAACCUUUCGGGGAGGAGGAUGCCUAAGGCAGGACUGGUGACUGGGGUGAAGUCGUAACAAGGUAGCCGUGCCGGAAGGUGUGGCUGGAUCACCUCCUUUUUAGGGAGACCUACACCCCUCAGAGAUUGAAAAAACACACAGUUAUAUAGAUACUGAGAUGGUCUAACCUAGGUUCGGUCGCAGACAUUUGUUUAAAGCUUUCAAACUAUGAUUUGGUUCGAUAUGGGCUAUUAGCUCAGGUGGUUAGAGCGCACCCCUGAUAAGGGUGAGGUCCCUGGUUCGAGUCCAGGAUGGCCCACCUGAAAAUAAUUAGUAAUUCCUAGUUCGUAAUGCCUAGUUAACUGCGAAUUAAGAAUUGCGAAUUACAAAUUAUAAUUUGGGGGUUUAGCUCACUUGGUAGAGCGCCUGCUUUGCAAGCAGGAUGUCAGCGGUUCGAGUCCCCUAACCUCCACCUGUGUCGAUUGCCAAAAAAACAGCAAGAGAAAUCAGCAACAUGACGCUUGUGUCAGACUGCUGAGAUUAGACUCAGCCAGAACCUUGAAAACUGCAUAGUAACGCGAAAUUAGCAGGCAGACACAGACAANCUUUUAGAGAUGUUGUUGUGAAUGCAAUUGUUUAACACCNAAUGUAUGAGGAUCAAGNUGGAAUA